AAAGUCGCCGCCCUAGUUUUUGGGCCAAAAGUUAAAACUUUUCACACUCCCUCUCCCUCUCUUGUUGCUCUCAUCUGCCAUCUCUUCCUCGUUGAACGAACCAAAUUGUGGAGCUCAGAUUCAUUAGCUCUGAGCACAAAAAAUUCACUCACCACGGAUGGGGAUUUAAGAAGGAGUUGUUGGAGAAGGAGGUGAUGAAGGCUGCAGAGUCGCUGUCGUCUCGCACACUAACCCCACGAACCCAAGACACCCAUUUCUCCAGAACGCACUCAACUUCUUCUUCACCAAUCAUUCGCUGCUGCUUCAGUGCUCGCUGUCCCUUAAUGACACUCCGGCCUCUGUCGUCGAUUAUUCCAAGAGCAGUGUGUUGUUUCCGUCGGUCCUGGCCGGGACUCUGCGACUUCUGGGAAUUGGGUUGAGGAGAAAACGCGUGCUGGUGUUGUAGAACAUCGAUUUGUAUGCAUAUGGGGCUAUAUAUAGUGAUUAUGUAGUGAGUUUUACUUACUGUUUAGACGCAUUGACAACACCAUUGUUGUAGACUUUUAAGCUUAGAAAGAUGCCUCCCACCAAAGCUACAAGUACUAUGUGAAUGCUCGCCAAACUAAAUAUUGAGGUAGCAUCGUGAAAUGCUCGCUAUGAUAGAACCUCCAUUAUCAUAUAGAUGCAGGAUUUGGAAUGGCCAUGUUCUCUCGAGAUUUUUGGAUUACUUCAGCAAAUUUGAUUGGGAGAAAUAUUCUGUAAGUUUAAAUGGACCAGAGACAUAUAAUGCAGUUCGAGGGUAUGGACUGGGAGUAGAGUGGGUUGAUGUUCCUGGAAUACAAACUGCAAAGCCAGCAGUUGCUUGCGAUGUAGCAUCACUUCAGUCUGAACUUGAAGCCUCACUUGCUGAGAUCACGAGGUUGACAGAGGAAGCAGCCAAAAAGGAUGAGCAAUUGCAAGCUGUCCAAACUCAAUCAAUGCUAGCAUUGAAACUUGUAUUGGCAAUCCCUUGCAUAGUAUAAUAAGUGCUGGACCUGAUACCAUUAAGAAGCUAAUAGCAGCACUUUCUGAUAUCGCAGAGAAGCAACCUCAGUCGAUCCAAGAAAUGCAAUCAACUCCAAUGGAAGGGUAUGUGACUUUACUUGGACACUAGGAUGGAAAUUGUAGGAAGUUUGUUUUGAAGCAUAUUGCUGGUAUCUAUGAUUCAUCUCAAAGUUAGUAUAUUUUGGGUCAUUUUAUUGACAUAUUGGAGAUGAACUAUAUAUAUUUUGGGUAAUGGCUUCUGCCAUAUUAGAUAUAGCAAUACUAGCUUGGGUUAGAGCGGAGAUGAACUAAUCAUGUAAUUAUUAUGGUCUGGGAGAACAAUGACCACUUUUGUAUAUUGCUCUUGGAUGAAUGAAAUUUGUGUAGGAAAACUAAUAUUUGGAUUUAUGUUU